UUUAAUGAUUUAAUUUUUUAGAUUAUUAGGAUUUUUUUUGUAAAAUUUAGCUUAUUUCUGGAGUAUUUUGGUAAAGCAUAUAGCAGAAUUUUAUAAUUCAGAAUUAGCAACAUUGGGCUGCGCAGAACCGGACGAAAAUUGAUUUCGAGAACGAACACAUCUGUUGUAUUUCCACCAUGCGUAUAGAAUAAACAAUCAACAAGAAAUGGCUUCAAGAGAGAUCAUACAGAAGUUCAAAAUGGAUACGGAAAUUGAUAAUGAGAUAAGAAGAUUGACUGAGGUCUUAAAAAAGAAACAAGAGGAUCGCAAACGCCUGGCAGAGAAAAUCAAGACAAUAAGGCGAUGAGGAAUGUGAGCGAAUUUAAGAACUCGAGGGACCGCGAUCUGAUACAGAGGCUAGAAAGAUCAUUGACAGCUUCCAAAAUGAAUUAAUAAAUAGCAGUGAUGACGACGCGAAGAGAUUAAUUUAGAAUGCAAAUCAAUGGUCGAAAACAAAAGUUACGAGACAAAAUAUAAGAAGACAACCGGAAUACGAAAUGGCAGCAGGAAGUGCCAUUCUUACAAACGUGGAAACCAAUCCUGCAUUUAAUGUCCUCGAGUGACACCGACGCUAGUAAUGAUGCGUACCAAAUAAGAGGACCAAACCACUUUAAGUAAAUUCCCCACCACAUCAAAAAAACCUAAUGCCUAACCUAAUGCCCAAUAUUCCACUAACAAAGUUUAAGAAGAAACUUGGAAGAUCCAAGGUACGCUGACAAACAAAAGAGAUCACUCGAGAGGUACUACAGUGAUUUACCUUUACAAACAUUAUUAAACAUAAUCAAGAUUAACUAAUCCAGACAAAAAAAAACGAUAGGAAGAUUUAAAAGAAAUCAGAAAAACACAGCAAAGGAAACUUGUACAUCAAGCGUUAUACAGAGAAAUACAUUGGAAAAAAGAAGUCCACACAAAACAUCAAGUGGCAGUAGAAGAUGAGGAGGCUGAGCACACAGAAAUUUUAAAUGGAGCACAGUCACAAGCAUAACAAAUGGAAGUCAUAGACGAGGCUCAAACAAAUCACA